rnacentral:lncRNA from 1 species
UGUGUGUGUGAGUGUGAGUGUGUGUGUGUGUGUGAGUGUGAGUGUGAGUGUGAGUGUGAGUGUGAAUUUUAGUUUGUGUGUGUGUGUGUGUGUAUGUGUGAGUGUGUGUGAGUGUGUGUGUGAGUGUGUGGUGUGUGUAUGUGUGAGUGUGUGUGAGUGUGUGUGUGAGUGUGUGGUGUGUGGUGUGUGUUGUGUGUGCGUGUUAAGAAAAAGUGACUUAAUAAAAUUGCAAACCACAAGUAAAGCUUUAGAAAAUUCACUCCGUAUUUGCAUGAAAGAAGUAAGAGCAGUACUAUACUAGAGAAGAAAGAACCAUUAAUUAAAUCAAGCUUUCAAGUUCAAGAUCUCAAAUAUCAAAAAACGUAAAGAGAUCCGCCUCGAUGAUAAGUUGCAUUCAUGCUUGUUGAAUUACAAGCAAACUCAAUGAAGAUGAAGCUCAUCAACAAUAAUAAAAACAAGUACAAAUAUAUGAUAAAAACUUUAGAUGGACUAUCACAAGUGGGUAUUUUAGCAUACCUAAUACAUCAAGAGAAGAAAUUCAUUCUUAUGCCUAAUUCUAAACAAAGUAAUAUGGAAUUUCGCCUAGGCUUAUCUGAUUAGAGGUGAUAGCCAGAAGAAAUAAUCUCCUUCUUUAAUACCUAAUUUUAUCACAAUUUGGAAAUUGUAUAUGGUAGGAAAAAUCAUUCACAGAGAAGAAAAUCAUUCGAAUGGUAAGAAUUAAGAGGACAAAAAUCAAAAAGGAGGGGGCAGGGGGAUCUGUCCCUUUACCUUGUUGGCUGCAACUGGCAGCUGUGCUUUCAUAUACAUAUCAAUAUCCAUCUACGCUAAUAACUGUAUAAACUGAUAAAAAGUGUAUAUAUGGUCAUAAACAUCGAUGUAUAUAAAAAUGUAUAUAUGUACUAUCAAUUUGUAAGGGUGCAUGUGCGUACGCAUAUCAAUGUAUAUAUAACAGACAACAAGUUUAUACAUACACGCAUAAACAUAUCAGUAUAUACAUAUCGUAUAUAUACACACUGUAUAUAUAUAAACUGCUAAUAUAUGUCCUUAUGGUCGCAUAUAUUAGUGUAUGAAGAAUGCAUGUAUUAGUGUAUACAUACACAGUAUAUAUGAACUUAUCAACGCGUAAAGGUGCAUGUGCGUGCAUAUAUCAAUGCAUACAUAUAUUGAUAAUUGUAUAUAACUGAUAGCAAACAAUUGUGUACAUACACAUAACAAUAUCAGUAUAUACAUAUCGUAUUAUAUAUACACACAUUAGUCCAUACACACCACACAUAUAUGUGUAGUAUAUAUAUCUGUGAGUGUCAGUGUCAGUGUCAGUGUGUGUGUGUGGGUGAGUGUGAGUGUGAGUGCGAGUGUGUGUGUAGUAUACAUAUAUGUUAAUAACUGUAUAAAUUGAUAAAUACUGUAUAUAUCGUCAUAUAUACCAAUGUAUAUAUUAAUGCACUGUAUAUAUACAGUUAAACACUUUAAACAUACAUAUAUAUCAGUAUAUACACAUCGUAUAUAUACAGACAUCACACACAUACAUACACAGAUAUCAGUGUAUUUUUUACACACUAAUAACUAUACAUAUAUCAGAUAACUAAUGUAUUGUAUGGUUGUAUGCAUCAGUAUGUAUAUAUAUACUGAAAACAAUGGUCUAUAUUGUUAUAUAUCAAUUCGUACACAAAUUGAGCGCAUAACUGUAUAUAUUACUGAUAAUAAGUAUAUAUAUGGUCUUUUACAUAAGUGUACAUAUAAACCCUUUAUACAUAUGCAUAUGAAUGUGCGUAUAUACAUUUCAUUAUACAUAUACACUAACAACUGUAUGCGUAGAAUACAUAUGUGUAGAAUAUAUAUCUUUGAGUGUGAGUGUGAGUGUAUGUGAGAGUCAGUGUGUGUGUGACGGUGUGUGUGAGUGUGAGUGCGAGUGUGAGUGUGUGUGGGUGUUUAGUAUAUAAAUUGCUGUACAUAAACAUUAAUAAUUGUAUAAACUGAUAAUAAAUAUAUAUAUGAUCAUAUACAUCAAUGUAUAUAGCAAUGUACAUAUUAAUGCACUGUAUAUAUACAGUUUACACUUACACACAUAUCAAAAUAUACACACACAUCGUAUAUAUACAGACAUCACGCACACACACACACAUAUCAACAUAUUUUUUACACACUAAUAACUGUAUAUAUAGCUGAUAACUAAUGUAUUGUAAGGUUAUAUGCAUCAGUCUAUAUAUAUAUAUAUAUAUAUACUGAAAACAAUGGUAUAUAUUAUUAUAAAUCAAUACGUACACAAAUUGUGCUAAUAACUAUAUAUAUCACUGAUAAUAAAGUUUAUACAUGAUCUUAUAUUUUAGUGUAUAUAUAAACCGUUUAUACUUGCAAAUGAGUAUGCAUAUAAAGAUAUCAAGGUAUAUAUACGUUAACAACUAAUAAAUUGAUAAGGGUGUAUAUUGAAAUGUUUGUAUGCAAUAUCAAUGCAUAAGGGUGCAUAUGCGUGUGCAUAUCAGUGCAUAUAUAACUGAAAUGUUUAUGUGUGUAGCAAGUUUAUACAUACACGCAUAAACACAUCAGUAUAUACAUGUCAUAUAUAUACACAUUGUAUAUAUCACUGAUAAUAAAGUAUAUACAUGGUCUUGUACUUUAGUGUAUAUACAAACUGAUAAUAAGGGUCUAUAUGAUCAUACAUAUCAGUCUAUCCGUAAUGCACGUAUUAGUGUAAACCUAAACAAUAUGUACGCACUUAUCAACGUGUAAGGGUGCAUGUGCGUGCGCAUAUCAGUGUAUACAAACAUUAAUAAUUGUAUAUAACUGGUAGCAAUCAACUGUAUACAUAGACGCAUAAACAUAUUAGUAUAUACAUAUCGUAUAUAUACACAUCAGUCCAAACACAACACGCAUAUAUGUGUAGUAUAUAUAUCUGUGAGUGUGAGUGUGAGAGUGUGUUUUGUAGUAUAUAAAUCAGUGAGAGUGUGUGAGUGUGUGUUUGUGUGUAUAUAUGUGUGUGUGUAGUAUAUAAAUCAGUGAACAUAUAGGUGGUUACAAACCGUAUAAACUGAUAAUAAGUGUAUAUAUGGUCAUAUACAUCAAUGUAUAUAGAAACGUAUAUAUUUUAACACACUAAUAACUGUAUAUAUACAAUUAUGCAUUUUACACACUAUGCACUUUACACACAAACAUAUCAAUAUAUACUCAUCGCAUCGAUACAGAUAUCACACACACACACGCAUAUCAAUAUUAUUAUUACACACUAAUAACUAUAUAUAUAACUGAUAAUUAAUGUGCGAGUGUGAGUGUGAGUGUGAAUGUGUGUGUGAGUGUGAGUGUGAGUGUGUGGAUAUAAUAUAUAAAUCAGUGUACAUAUAUGUUAAUAAAUUUAUAAACUAAUAAUAAGUGUAUAUAUGGUCAUAUACAUCAAUGUAUAUAGAAAUAUAAACAUUAAAUGCAUUGUAUAUAUACAGUUAUUUACACUAUAUAAAUCAGUGUACAUAUACGUUAAUAAAUUUAUAAACUAAUAAUAAGUGUAUAUAUAGUCAUGUACAUCAAUAUAUAUAGAAAUAUAAACAUUAAAUGCAUUGUAUAUAUAUAAUUAUUUACACAUACACAAAAAACUCUAGAUACAUAUCGUAUAUAUACUGACAUCACACACACAUAUCAAUGUAUUUUUACACACUAGUAAUUGUACAUAUAGCCAAUAACUAAUGUAUUCUAUGCUUAUAUACAUCAAUUCGUAAACAUAUAGAGCUAAUAACUAUAUAUAUCACUGAUAAUAAGUAUAUACAUGGUCUUAUACAUUAGUGUGAGUAAGAGUGAGUGUGAGUAUGUGUGUGUGGUGUGUGUGUGUGUGUAAAGAAAAAGUUAAUAAAAUUGCAAACCACAAGUCAAGCUCCAGAAAAUUCACUCCAUAUUUGCAUGAAUGAAGCAAAAGUGUGUUAAGAAAAAGUUACUUAAUAAAAUUGCAAACCACAAGUAAAGUUCCAAAAAUUUCACUCCAUAUUUGCAUGAAAGAAGCAAAAGCAGUACUGUAAUAGAGAAGAAAGAACCAUCAAGACGAUCAAGCGUGCAAUAUCAAGAUCUCAAAUAUCAAAUAAUGUAAAGAGAUCCACCUGUAUGGUAAGUUGCUUUCAUGCUUGUUGAUUUACAAGAAAACUCAAUGAAGAUGAAGCUCAUCAAUAAUAAUGAAAACAAGUACAAAUAAGAUAAAAAAUUUACCUGGACUAUCACAAUAGGGUAUUUAGCAUACCCAAUUCAUCAAGAGAAGAAACCUAUUCUUAUGCCUAAUUCUACACAAAGUAAUAAGGAAUUUCGCCAAGGCAAAUCAAAUUACAGGUGAUAGUAUAUAUACUUGUGAGUGUGAGUGUGAAAGAAGCAAGAGCAGUAAUAUAUCACUCCAUAUUUGCAUGAGAGAAGCAAGAGUAGUGCUAUACUACAGAAGAAAGAACCAUUAAGCAAAUCAAGCUUACAAGAUCAAGAUAUCAAAUAUCGAAUAACGUAAAGAAAUCUGCCUCGAUGAUAAAUUUCUUUCAUGCUUGUUGAUUAACAGGAAAACUCGACGAAGAUGAAGCUCAUCAAUAAUAAUAAAAACAUGUACAAAUAAGAUAAAAAAUUUAGAUGGACUAUCACAAUUGGGUAUCUACAUACCCAAUUCAUCCAGAGAAGAAACCCAUUCUUAUGCCCAAUUUUAUACAAAGUAAUAUGGAAUUUCGCCUAGGCUUAUCAGAUUAGACUUGAUACUAAAUAUAUAUCUGUGAGUGUGAGUGUGUGUGUGAGUGUGAGUGUGAGUGUGUCAGUGUAUGUGUGUGAGUGUGAGUGUGAGUGUGAGUGUGAGUGCGCGUGUGUGUGCGUGUGUAUGCAGUAUAUAAAUCAGUGUACAUAUACGUUAAUAAAUUUAUAACUGAUAAUAAGUGUAUAUAUGGUCAUAUACAUCAAUGUAUAUAAAAAUAUAAAUAUUAAUGCAUUGUAUAUAUACAGUUAUUUAUACAUACACAAAAAUCCGUAUAUACACAUCGUAUAUACACUGACAUCAAACACACACAUAUCAAUGUAUUUUUACACACUAGUAACUGUACAUAUAGCGAAUAACUAAUGUAUUCUAUGCUUAUAUACAUCAAUACAUAAACAUAUAGAGCUAAUAACUGUAUAUAUCACUGAUAAUAAGUAUAUACAUGGUCUUAUAAAUUAGUGUACAUAUAACCUCAUUCUUAUACAUUAGUGUUAGUGUGAGCGUGAGUGUGAGUGAGAGUGUGAGUAUGAGUAUGUGUGUGUGGUGUGUGUGUGUGUCAAGAAAAAGUUGAUAAAAGUGCAAACCACAAGUAAAGCUCCAGAAAAUUCACUCCAUAUUUGCAUGAAAGAAGCAAGAGUGUUUGUGUGUUAAGGAAAAGUUACUUAAUAAUAUUGAAAACCACAAGUGAAGCUCUAGAAAAUUCACUCCAUACUUGGAUGAAAGAACCAAAAGCAGUAUUCUAAUAGAGAAGAAAGAACCAUCAAGCAGAUCAAGUUUGCAAUAUCAAGAUCUCAAAUAUUGAAUAACGUAAACGAUCCCCGUCCUAUGAUAGGUUACUUUCAUGCAUGUUGAUUUACAAGAAAACUCAAUGAAGAUGAGGCUCAUCAGUAAUAAUAAAAACAAGCACAAAUAAGAUAAAAAAUUUACAUGGACUAUCACAAUAGGGUAUUUAGCGUACCCAAUUCAUCAAGAGAAGAAACCCAUUCUUAUGCCUAAUUCUAUACAAAGUAAUAAGGAACUUCACCAAGGCUAAUCAAAUUACAGGUGAUAGUAUAUAUAUUUGUCAGUGUGAGUGUGAGUGUGAGUGAGUGUGAGUGUGCGUGUGAGUGUGAGUGUGAGUGUGAAUAAGUGUGAGUGUGAGUGUGAGUGUGAGUGCGAGUGCGAGUGCGAGUGCGAGUGUAAGUGUGUGGGUUUGAGUGUGUGUGUGUGUGUAUGAGUGAGUGUGAGUGUGAGUGUGAUUGUGAGGAUGAGAGUGAGUGUGAGUGUGAGUGUGUGUGUGUGUGUAGUAUAUAAAUCAGUGUACAUAUACGAUAAUAAAGGUAUAAACUAAUAAUGAAUAUAUAUGGUUAUAUACAUCAAUGUAUAUAUAUAAAUGUAUAUAUUAAUGCACUGUAUAUAUAAAUGUAUAUAUUAAUGCACUGUAUAUAUACAUUUAUGCACUUUACACAUACACACAAAUCCGUAUAUACACAUCGUAUAUCUACAGACAUUACACACACACAUAUCAAUGUAUUUUUGCACACUAGUAACUGUAUAUAUAGCUGAUAACUAACGUAUUGUAUGGCUAUAUGCAGCAGUUUAUAUAUAUAAUCUGAAAAGAAUGGUAUAUAUUAAUAUACAUCAAUACAUACACAAAUUGAGCUAAUAAUUGUAUAUAAAUCACUGAUAAUAAGUAUAUACAUGGGCUUAUAUAUUAGUGCAUAUAUAAACCCAUUAUACAUAUGCAUAUGAGUGUGAGUAUAUACAUAUCAGUGUACAUAAACACCAAUAACUGUAUAAAUUGAUAAGAAGUGUCCAUAUGGUCAUAUAUAUCAGUGUAUAUAGAAAUGUAUAUGCAUUAUCAAUGCGUAAGGGUGCAUGUGCGUGCGGAUAUCAGUGUACAUAUAACUCAUAGGAAGUUUAUAGAUACAUGCAUAAAUAGAUCAGUAUAUACAUAUCGUAAAUAUGCACACUGUAUAUAUAUGUAAAGUGCUAAUAAGUGUCUAUAUGAUUAUAUAUAUCAGGGUAUAUAGUAUGCAUGUAUUAGUGUAAACAUCCACAGUAUAUAUGCACUUAUCAAUACGUAAGGGUGCAUGUGCAUAUAUGUAUCAGUGUAUACAUCAUACAUUGACAAUUGUAUAUAAUUGAAAGCAAACAAUUGUAUUUAUACACGCAUAAACAUAUCACCGUAUAUAUACACACAUCAGUCCAUACACAACACUCAUAUCAGUGUACUAUAUAUCUGAGUGUGAGUGUGAGUGUGAGUGCGUGUUAAUGUGUUUGACUGGGUGUGGGCGUGAGAGUGUGUGUGUGAGUGUGAGUGUGUGUGUGAGUGUGAGUGUGUGAAUGUAAGCAUGAGCGUGAGUGUGUGAGCGUUAUUGUGUGUGAGUGUGUGUGUGUGUGAGUGUGUGUGAGUGUGAGUGUGUAUGUGUGAGUGAGUGUGUUUGUGUGAGUGUGUGUGUGUAUGUGGUGUGUGUAGGUGUGUGUGUUAAGAAAAAGUUACUUAAUGAAAUUGAAAACCACAAGUAAUACUCCAGAAAAUUCAUUCCAUAUUUUCAUGAAAGAAGCAAGAGUGUGUGUGUGAUAAGAAAAGGUUACUUAAAAAAUUUCAAGCCACAAGUAAAGUUUCAGAAAAUUCACUUCAUUUUUGCAUGAAAGAAGAAAGAGAAGUAUUAUACUAGAGAAGAAAGAACCAUUAAUCAAAUCAAGCUUGCAAGAUCAAGAUCUCAAAUAUCGAAUAACGUAAAGAGAUCCACCCCGAUGAUAAGUUUCUUUCAUGCUUGUUGCUUUACAAGCAAACUCGAUGAAGAUGAAGCUCAUCAAUAAUAAUAGAAACAAGUACAAAUAAGACAAAAAAUUUAGAUGGACUAUCACAAUUGGGUAUUUAGCAUACUCAAUUCAUCAAUAGAAGAAACCCAUUUUUAUGCCUAAUUUUAUACAAAGCAAUAUCAAAUUUCACCUAGGCUUAUCAGAUUAGAGGUGAUAGCCAGAAAAAAUAAUCUCCUUCUUGAAGGCCUGAAUUUAUCACAGUUUGGAAAAUUGUAUACGGAAAAAUCAUUCACAUGGAAGAUAAUGAUUCGAAUGGAAAGAAUUGAGAGGAAAAUAAUCAAAAAAGAAGGGGGGGGGAUAUGUUUAACCUUAUUGGCUGCAACAACCACCUGUGCAUUCAUAUACAUAUCAAUGUACAUCUACACUAAUAACAAUAGAAACUGUUAAAAAUUUUAUAUAUGGUUUAUAUCAGCGUACAUAAAAAUACAUAUAUACGCAAUCAAUGCAUAAGGGUGCAUGUGCGUGCGCAUAUCAGUGUAUAUAUAACUGAUAGCAAGUUUAUACAUACAUGCAUAAACAUAUCAGUAUAUACACUGUAUAUAUAUAUAUAUAUAUAUAAACUGUUAAUAUAUGUCUAUAUGGUCAUAUAUAUCAGUGUAUAUAGAAUGCAUGUAUAAGUGUAUGCAUACACCUUAUAUAUGCACUUAUCAACGCGUAAGGAUGCAUGUGUGUGCACAUAUCAGUAUAUAUAUAUUGAUAAUUGUAUAGAACUGAUAGCAAGCAACUGUAUACAUACACGCAUAAACAUAUCAGUAUAUACAUGUCGUAUAUAUACACACAAUAGUCCAUACACAACAUGCAUAUAUGUGUAGUAUAAAUAUCUAUGAGUGUGAAUGUGAGUGUGUGUGUGUCUAAGUGUGAGUGUAUGUGAGUGAGUGCGAGUGCGAGUGGGAGUGUGAGUGUGCGUGUGAGUGUGAGUGUGAGUGUGAGUGUGAGUGAGUGUGAGUGUGAGUGUGAGUGUGUGUGAGUGUGAGUGUGAGUGUGAGCAUGAGUGUGAGUGUGUGUAGUAUAUAUAAAUCAGUGUACAUAUAUGUUACUAACUGUAUAAACUGAUAAUAAGUGUAUAUAUGGUCAUAUACAUCAAUGUAUAUAUAGAAAUGUACAUAUUAUAGUCAUAUAAUGCACUGUAUAUAUAAAGUUAUGCCCUUUACACAUACACACAUAUCAGUAUAUAUACAUACACACACAUACAUGUCAAUGUAUUUUGUACGCACUAAUAAGUAUAUAUAGAGCUGAUAACUAAUGUUUUGUAUGGUUAUAUACAUUAGUAUAUAAAAAUACACUGAAAACAAUGGUAAACAUUGUUAUACAUCAAUACGUACACAAAUUGAGCUAAUAACUGUAUAUAUCACUGAUAAACCCAUUAUACAUAUGCAUAUGAGUGUACGUAUAUACAUAUCAGUGUACAUAUGCACUAGUAACUGUAUAAAUCAAUAAUUGUCAGUAUAUACAUAUCGUAUAUAUACACACAUCAGCCAAUUCACAACAUGCAUAUAUGUGUAGUAUAAAUAUCUGUGAGAGUGAGUGUGCGUGUGAGUGUGAGCAUGAGUGUGAGUGUGAGUGUGAGUUGAGUGUGAGUGUGAGUGUGAGUGUGAGUGUGUGAGCGUGAGUGUGUGUGUGUGUGAGUGUGUGUGCAUGUGAGUGUGAGUGUGAGUGUGAGUGUGAGUGUGAAUGUGAGUGUGAGUGUGAGUGUGAGUGUGAGUGUGAGUGUGAGUGUGAGUGUGAGUGUAAGUGUGAGUGAGUGAGUGUGUGUCAGUGUGUGUGUGAGUGUGAGUGUGAGUGUUAGUGUGAGUGUGAGUGUGAGUGUGAGUGUGA